ensembl:lncRNA
CUCCCAUCACAGGCGCCAUGAGACAGACUCCACAUCAAAGUCGGCAUUAAAACACACACACACACACACACACACACACACACACACACACACACACACACACACCCCAGCCGGCCUGUUUCAACACACCUGAGAAGAAAAAGCAAAUUGAUUACUCCUUAACCUACACUGCUAACCAAGCCUGCAGGGAGACGUUUCUCUUAGCCGUGUCUGCCUCAGCGCCUUUGCCACCCAAAGCUUGGAGACAGUUUUAAUUGCAACAUGACGACCACAAGAAAAGCCCAGAAUCCUCAUAAAAGCACAGCAAAGUUGGCUGCAGGCCCACGGAGGAGAGCAAGCCACACCGUAAUUACAGGGUUGCUGUGGAUCCAGUUCCUAUCCUGGGAACUCUGGGAAUACACCUUCAAUGGGACACCCGUCUAUCCCACUACACAUGUUAACACCUAGAGGUAAUGUAGAGUAGCCAGUCCAUCUAUGUGCAUGUUUUUGGGAGUUGGAAGGAAACCAGAAAACCUGGAGGAAACCAC